UGCGUGAUGAUGGAAAAUUUCUUCACUUUGACCUGACUCGUUUGAUUGAAGAAAUUCAGCUGUCUGACA
ensembl:snoRNA